ACAAGUUAAAUUAUUACAAAGUUGGAUAAUGAUGUUUCUUGCCCACUCUUCUGAUAAAAAGAAAGCAGAUAUUAUACAUAAAAGUAGGAAAAAUCGUGCAAAGGAAAGGUGGGUGGAAGAAAGUGGGAAGUUGGUUAAUCCCAUCAACUUUCCAGUGGUCCCCGGCAAGGGUUGAUACACCUGUAGUAAAUCGAUUAUAACUUAUCCAAUACAGCUCCAAAUGACUUGAAACCACUUCCAUUGGAAAGCUAACUCAAUUUCCAGUGUCUCCACAAAUUUUCAGCUUCAGAAAAGAUAUUUAAGGCUUUCAUCCGUGUUCAUCUUUCACUCUCCGGAUUCGGGAGCGACCUCACUGUGUCGCUGCGAGAGGUCGCUCCGGAUUCGUUGUCUCCGGGUGAUCAAUACGCGAGCGACUCUUCCCUGUCGCUCUAGUAAGGUCGCUCUGAUAGGGAGAUCAGAGCGACUUGACGGUGUCGCUCCCAGCUGGUCGCUCUGGUAAGGUGCUCGCCCAAUGAUCACUUUUAACAUUUCUUUUGGACUCCAAUUGCACUCAAAAUCCCACCAAUGGUCCUCUAAUUCAUCCAUGGUGUUCUCCAACACCUGAUAUGUACAAAUGCAAUGAUAUGCAACCUAAAUGUGUCUAAAUGAUGCUCUAAAUGACCAAACCAUGCAAGAAUAAGAAGUUAAAAACAUGUAAAUUCACAAGAUAUCAACUCCCCCACACUAGUCCUUUACUUGUCCUCAAGUAAACUUUCAAGUCCUAAGAAGGAAGAAGUUUGAAAAAGGGAGCUCAUAGCCAAAAGACACACAUCUUAGCUCUUCUACAACAUUCCAAAUGAUCAUAGCAAACAAUCAUUGGUCAUUCUUUUAUCAGUCUAGCUUCUCAAUGCCUAUCAACCUCUUUUUAUUUCUUUAUACAAAGUGCAAUGCUCAUCAAUCAACAAGUAACUUCAACCAAUUCUCACAUUCAUUCACACACACACACAAGGUGGAUUCUCACAAAUGGGCACAUGAUCUCAAUCACUUGGCUUGGUAGAUUAAUGGUCUUUUAUGAAUAAAAAGAAAGGUUCAAAUACAAUCUUUUUAAUGGUGGCAAUCACUCAAGAACAAGGAGCAUGAUCAUUAUGCAAAAUUUAUCUAAGACUAGGAGCAAUUCAUGCAUACAUAGCUCAUUCUCGUCAUUCUACUCUUCUUCCUAAGUGAUUACAAAUUCUACCCAUCUUUUAUAUUUCAAAACCCAAGUAUAUACACUUCACUCACAUUUCUCACCAAGUGAACUCUUUUUUUUUUUUUUUUACAUGAUCAACCAACUAAGAACUUGACACUCUUUUUCUUUCCCCAUUAUGAUCUUUCAUUCAUUUUUUUCAUUUUUUUUUUUUUUUUUUUUACUUUGGGGAAUUCUAAUUGACACACUUAAGAGUUUUUCUUCUUUUAUUUUCUUGGUUCCUAUUGGUUUUCUUUUCUUAUUGACACUCUUUGAUCUUUUUCUCUUUUCUCAAACCCAAGAUAUAACAACUUAAAAACACACAAACUCACUCAUUAUCCUAGAUGCUAGUUCAAAUGAGGAUCUUAUGCUAGCAAUAGAUGAGAACAAACAUAUGUCGCUCCCAAUACUCUCAAGAUUUUGCACAUGACAAGCUAUCAAUAAGAGACCUCACUCAACAAAUCGAUAUUGGUUUCAAAGAAUGGCAAGGGUUCAAGGGUAGGGGAGUGCUAUUUGGGUUAAUCAAAGGAUAAGACAUGGAAUAAGAUAACCCAAAUGUGUAUGAAAUCCAUGAUCAAGUAUGCAAGUGCCCAUAUGCAAGAGAGAUUAAAUUCAUUAUGCUCAAGUUCAGUUUGUAAUUGGUUUCAAGAACAAUGUCAAUAUCAUAUGAGCAACAUGUUUCAAAAAGAGUUUUCAAGGCUCAAGAGAUGCUUGUAGAUAUGUUCUUUUCAUGGCAAUUUCAAUCAUGGCUCCCUAUGCAUAAUUCAAAACUCACAACUCUUUUUAAAAUUAUUAUUAUUAUUAUUAUUUUUUUUUUUUUUUUUUUUUUUUUUUUUUAAAAAUUCNNNNNNNNNNNNNNNNNNNNNNNNNNNNNNNNNNNNNNNNNNNNNNNNNNNNNNNNNNUUUUUUAGAAAUCACAAGAAAAUCCAAAAUGCAAAUCAUUAAAAUCCACACAGAUGCAAAGUGCUAGAUAUGUCAAAUGCAAAUCAUCCAAAUAAAACCAAGCAAAAUGAUCAGUUUUUAUAGUACCCCCACCACACUCGAAUCACACAGUCUCUUGUGUGACUUUGAAUUUGGAGUGGUUUACAUGAUAAGUAAAAUAAAAAUUACUAGAGAUGUGGAGAGAUUUUAAACCGGAUUAGAGUACUUACCUUGUGACUGUAGCGACUUGAGCAUGUCACUAUGGAUAUGUCGCUAUGAGCAUGUCUCCACAGCACUUGUGUUUCUUUCCUAGCCUCUUUUGAAUCCUUUCCUUUUCCUGAGCACCUUCCAAACUGAAAUGACACACAAUUCACACAAACAAACACACAAACAAGGAUAGUUCACACAAUUUAUUAAAAACAUUCACACAUAUAUACAAAGGAUACUCUUGAGAUUUCCUCCCAAGUGAGCUUGUUUUAAGUCUCUAGCUUGACUUUGUGUGCUUGCUAAUCAUAAGUAUCAAAAGGUUGAGCCAAUGCACCUUUGGUCCCUCUCCUCCAAGAACAAGGAACCAAGUAUGCAAAGGAGCACACUACUGUCCAUAGAAAAUAGACAGAUUUUUCCUCAAAGAGCUUCACUAAAGAUAUGACAUGAGUUAUGAAAUGCUCCUUGAGGUUCAGAUGAUCAUGAGAAUCAAAAGCAUUAGGUGGAAACACAAAAUCAACUACAUGUUCAAAUGAGGUUUUAACAAAGUAGUCAGCUCUAUCUCCAUCAAUCAAAUAAUACACAAUGUUCACAUUCUCAUGAUAGUUUUCAGCAUGGGGGUUUUCUAUCUCAAGCAAGAGCUUAUCCACAUCAAGUUCAUCCCCUAAAUCAGGAAGUUCAAGAAGAGGUCUAGCUUCAUCAAGAAUGAAAAACUCAGAUUCAAGAUCAAAUGAAGCACAUAGAUAGCUCUUGUCAAAACAAACUUCAAUAUGAUCUCUAACAAGUUUUUCUAUUCUCAACUCAUCUAGUUUCUUAGUUUCACAUAUCAGAUCAAGACAUUCAUUCAUGAGCACAAGAGAAUUAAGACCAGAGAUAUUAUUCUCACCACAAGGCAAGCAUAUUUCCUCGAGUUGAAGUUUUAAAGUGGAAAUUUCUAUACCUUCCAGUUGGAGUGGUGGAGCCCAAUACAUUACCUCAUUAAGGGCACAAGCAGCAUCUAACUCAUACUGGGUAACCUCCCUUUCUUCAAACUCUGCUCGGUCCCUAAUGAGGUGUAUCCGGAUAAGUUGUGCUAGGUUUCUCUUUGUCUUGUCCCGAUUCUCUUUCAUUCUCUGAAGCCGAUGCAACUCAUCCCUUUGGCCUGGUGUGAGUAUGCGUAUAUCAAAGGGUGGUGGCUUCACAUAUGGCUGAUCUUCAAUGCGAUCUUCAAAUGUCUCUUCCUCUUCUUGUGGCUUCUCAGAGUAGCUUGAAGCCAUCUCUACAAAUAACAAAAGCUAGAAGAAGAGGUUAGUAGCUAAACAAAAGCAAAACAAAGCAUAAUAAAAUAAAGCUUAAUCUCAAGAAAGUUUGAAAUCUUAAUGACAAAUCUACUUAGUUCCCCGGCAACGGCGCCAAAUUGAUAAUAGGUUUUUCUGCCUAUUGCAAAUGUUGUAGUAUAGUGGGGUGAAUGUCGAACCAGUCCUAGUGAUGUGAAUCAGUGAGAAUACAAGUCAUUUCUUAAGCUAAGCAGAUUCAAUAGUGGUGAGUGUGUGACAAGUAGCAAUAGCAAACAGAGCAAUACAACAAGGUUUUAAUCAAUUUAGACAAGUGAAUCCAUGGGUAUUGGGAAUUAACUUCAAGUAACUAAGAUCCAAUCUAGGUGACAAGCUUUCAAUCAAAGUAAUCUCUUAAGUCUAAACACAAUUUUAGACAAGUCCUAUGUCUAGGUAAAUGUCCAUUUGCUUAGAAAUCAUUAAGCAUCAAAUGUCUUUGGCUUAAUUCAAUCAAGCAAUCUUUAAGUUCAAGUUUAAUAACUAUCUAGCAAUUUUAACAUCAAGUGUCCUUGGCUAAUCUCACUAGAGCUUAGUUGAGUUGAUUCAAACACUUCAUCUAAUCAUGUCUGAUGAGAAGUGUUUAGAAAUCAGGUUUAGAGUGAUCAAGACUAAACAAGCAUUAAAAAUACUCAACAAGCAAGUUCAUACAAGGAUCUAAUACAAUAACACCAUAGAUCUUCAGUAAGUUACUCUAAUCUCCCUAACCCAUGAAUUCUUAAGGAAACUACUCACUAAUCUCCAUGAAAACACUUAAUCUCAUAAUAGAUUGAAGCAUAUUCAAGUAGAUACAACAGAGAAUAAAGAUAAACAAGGAUUAAACAAGCAAAACGAAAUUAAAACUCAAGAACAGAUGAUGAACAAUUGAAGAACAGCUCAAGAACACUAAGAACAAUGAUAUUUCAAAGAGAGAGAGUUUUGACAAGUUAAAUUAUUACAAAAGUUGGAUAAUGAUGUUUCUUGCCCAUUCUUAUGAUAAAAAGAAAGCAGAUAUUAUACAUAAAAGUAAGAAAAAUCGUGCAAAGGUAAGGUGGGUGGAAGAAAGUGGGAAGUUGGUUAAUCCCAUCAACUUUCCAGUGGUCCCCGGCAAGGGUUGAUACACCUGUAGUAAAUCGAUUAUAACUUAUCCAAUACAGCUCCAAAUGACUUGAAACCACUUCCAUUGGAAAGCUAACUCAAUUUCCAGUGUCUCCACCAAUUUUGAGCUUCAGAAAAGAUCUUUAAGGCUUUCAUCCAUGUUCAUCUUUCACUCUCCGGAUUUGGGAGCGACCUCGCUGUGUCGCUGCGAGAGGUCGCUCCGGAUUCGUUGUCUCCGGGUGAUCAAUACGCGAGCGACUCUUC
rnacentral:lncRNA from 1 species